UCCGUUGGUAACCAACGGCAGUCCCCCGUGACACAAGCAGCGGAGCGUGCGGUUUAAUUCGAAGCUACGCGAAGAACCUUACCAGGGCUUGACAUGCAGGGUGAAACCGGUGAAAGCCGGUGCUCCUUCGGGAGCCUGCACAGGUGCUGCAUGGCUGUCGUCAGCUCGUGCCGUGAGGUGUUGCCUUAAGUGGCGCAACGAGCGCAACCCCUGUCCAAUGUUGCCAGCGGGUAAUGCCGGGGACUCAUUGGAGACUGCCGGUGCCAAACCGGAGGAAGGUGGGGAUGACGUGCCACGCAAUAACA
rnacentral:misc_RNA from 1 species